rnacentral:rRNA from 1 species
UACAGAGGUCUCAAGCGUUGUUCGGAUUCAUUGGGCGUAAAGGGUGCGUAGGCGGCGCGGUAAGUCGGGUGUGAAAUCUCGGAGCUUAACUCCGAAACUGCAUUCGAUACUGCCGUGCUUGAGGACUGGAGAGGAGACGUGGAAUUCCCGGUGUAGAGGUAGAAAUUCGUAGAUAGUCGGGAGGAACGACCGGUGGCGAAGGCGGCGACCUGGGUCGAGACUGACGCUGAGGCGCGAAAGCGUGGG